CACCUCUCCGCCUCUUCUGCCCUGCCUAUCCCUCCUAAAGAGCCUGUAACCAUCCAGUGGGGCACUCCAGUCACAGGACUCAUCCCACCAGCACAAGGCCACAGAUCGAGACUUCAGGAGAGCUAAGGAGGAGCAGAUAUGAUCAACUGCUUUAUUUAAAAACAAAUUCUGGAGAGAACUGCAGUGCAAGAUCAGCAUUUUACCCUGGGUAGUGAUAAGAAAGAGCUUUUGAACACCCAUUACACUGCACAAGUGUGGGGAACUGCUCCUC